rfam:Anopheles maculatus strain maculatus3 cont1.18125, whole genome shotgun sequence.
AAAUCGGUCCUUUUCAGGACCACCAAAUGGUUUUCAAAAGAAUGUGU